rnacentral:tRNA from 1 species
GGAGUUGUGGCUCAGUGGUAGAGCACUUGCCUAGCAUGUAUGAGGCACUGGGUUCAAUUCUCAGCACCA